UAAUUAAUAUAAUCAGUAAUAACCUAGUUAUAAUCCAUUGCUUAAUUAUUAACUUUAAACAUAUCCAAAAACUGUUUUUGGCAAAUAAAACGGAGGAUUUUCAUCUAAAUUGUUUGAUGGUUUUCCUUGGCUUGAAUACAGUAUUCAAAGAGAUGCUGUAUUUUGCUAUUCAUGCAAAGUUUUUGGAACUGGGAAGUCAGAAGAUACUUUUAUUACCUAAGGGUUUAGAAAUUGGAAAAAGAUAAGUGGAUCCAUUUCUAAGAUUUCCAAAUUUAAUUAAAAGUCAAAAUUAGAAAUUCAUGCUACAACUAAACAUUUGAUUAAUUCAGAAAAAUGGGCCUCAUAUACUCAGAACUUAAAAUCAGGUUCUGUACACACUCAGAUGGCAAAUGCAUAUUGUGAAAUAGUAUUAAAAAAUAGAGCUUAUAUAUAAAAAAAAUCUGAUUGACGUAGUUUUGUAUUUGAGACGUCAAGGACUAGCAUUCCGUGCACAUAACGAAGAAAAAACAUCAAUCAACCAAGGUAAUUUUAAGGAAGCUUGUAUACUGUCUAAAUGUAUUGAAGAAUUUUCUACUAUAUUCAACGAAAAAACCAAUUAUACUAUUUGGUCAAUCAAAAAUAACCUUAUAAACAUUUCUGCUCAAAUGAUAAAAAACUCAAUUGUUAAUGAACUAACAGAAAGUGGAUUAUUUAGUGUCAUGUGUGAUGAAGCAAGAAUUUCAGACAAGAGCAAAUGUCAAUUUGUGUACGUUAUACCAAGAAUUUAAAAGUUAAUGAGCGAUUUUUAGGUUUUCUUUAUGCGUCUGAGAAUCAAAAUGCAGAUGCUUUGGCUACUGCUAUGGUCAGUUUUUUUGAAAUAAAUAAAAUAAAUGUAACUAUUGUAGCCCAAGCAUAUGACGGUGCUAAUGUUAUGUCGAGUAAAUUCAACGGAGUACAACAAAAAAUCAAAUCAAAUUACCCGUAUGCUGUAUACAUUCAUUGCAUGGCACAUCGUAUAAAUCAAUUGUUCUAGAUAUGUGCAAAUUGGUAAAGGUAUAAGGAAUAUAAUAUUAAUAACACAAAUGUAUACUCAUUAAUGUAUUAAGUAAUAGCUAAUAAAAAUGCUUGAAAAAAUAACUAUAAGCAAAAUAAUUAUUCUUUAUAUAUAUAGGAUACUAGAAUAGUAUUUAAUUGUCUUGAGAUGUUGUAUGUUUAUUUUUCACACCCUGCUUAUAAUGCAAAAUUCACCGAGAUUCAAGUAAAAUUAGGUAUCAAAAAAACUUCUCUGGCGUCUUUAAGUGAUACACGUUGGAAUUGUCGUGUAAGAAACUAUGUUGCGGUAAAAUUAAACUUUAAAGCUAUAGUUACAUUGUUAAAUGAUGAAAUUAAUUCUUCCAUAAAUAAAGAUAUUGUACAAGCCAUGGAUAAGAAUAAUAAUUUUGAUUUUACUUGAAUUAUAACU